UACGGAGGGUGCGAGCGUUGUCCGGAUUCAUUGGGCGUAAAGGGUGCGUAGGCGGCGCGGUAAGUCGGGUGUGAAAUCUCGGAGCUUAACUCCGAAACUGCAUUCGAUACUGCCGUGCUUGAGGACUGGAGAGGAGACUGGAAUUUACGGUGUAGCGGUGAAAUGCGUGGAUAUCGUAAGGAAGACCAGUGGCGAAGGCGGGUCUCUGGACAGUUCCUGACGCUGAGGCACGAAGGCCAGGGGAGCAAACGGG
rnacentral:rRNA from 1 species